rnacentral:tRNA from 1 species
GGAUGGAUGGGUGAGUGGCUGAAACCACCGGUUUGCUAAACCGACGUACGGGGUAACUCGUACCGCGGGUUCGAAUCCCGCUCCAUCCG